rnacentral:lncRNA from 1 species
UCCGAGUUCGGCACUGAAAAUAGACCCAACCCACCUAGGCGCCCGCCUAGCCACCGCCUAGCGACCGCCUGCCUAGCCACCGCCUAGCGACCGCCUAGCCGCCUAGCGCCCGCCUAGUCGCCUAGCGCCCGCCUAGCCAUCGCCUAGCCGCCUAGCGACCGCCUAGCCGCCUACCGCCCGCCUAGCCGCCCGCCUAGGCCGACUUUUCAGUUCUCGCUCUCCAGCAUCCAAACGCAUUCUCUCUCUCCCCUUGUCGUCAAGGUCUGUUGCCUCUGUUCAUUCAUUGUAAAUUUUAGUAUUCAAUAGUUCAUAGCUUUUUCAAUUUUUCAAUUUUGAAUUUUGAUUGAAACGCUAGACAAUGUAGGGGUUUUAAUUUGUUUAAACAUGCUCUUGAAAAUUGUUGUACGAGGGCACCUGUCAAUUGUCGUAAAUCAGUAGAAAAUGUGCUCUUGAAUUUUGUUAAGAUUAUAUUGAGAGCCUAAUGUUGGAUUUUGAGAUUGCAGUUUAGGAGAGCAUUACGUGAUUUUUCAUGUAGGGAAGGGAAGUAGCAUAAUGACUUUAGGUUUUCGUGUUAUGGCACAACACCUGAAGUUCUUGAAAGGCUUUAUAAGCUCAUACAGAGUCUAGCUAAUCUAGUGCAACAGUAUUUUAGGCUGGAUGGGACACCAGGCAGUUUUUAUGAGUACAUAUGAUAAUGAUAAGCCUCAAGGAAAGGUUUCAUCGGAAAUACUUCACAAGGGGAGUCUGGGACCACAAGGAAUUGAAGUUCAUGAAGUUGGUACAGUUGGUAUAGAGGAGCUACGAAAUGCAUAAAUAAUUAUCUAGGUUUGAUGAGUGCAUUUUACUCCUUACUUGUGGCCUGUCAGCUCUGUACAAAAUUUGCGCGGAGUCUAAGAUGAAGCAUCAUUAUAAAAGUCUCAACUCUGAAGUUGACUUCUUAUUUUGAGUUUGUGGACAGAGCACAGAUAAUAGAAAUGCACUGUGGGGGACGGUCAUAGUAUUUGUGAACAGAAAAUAGCGAUCUAAAUUCCAACUACCAAGUGAUGAGAAGAAAAUCUGGGAACUUAAAGAGGUGAAGACCAAGAGUGAUUGACAGUGGAUCAUUAUCUAGAGAUCUAUUUGAUUUCGCCUACAUUGCAGGCAGAAAAUAAAAAGGCCAAUCGUAAUGGGAGAACCAUGCAUGCCUCAAGCCUGGCCAGGUGUCUCACAUAAUGAGUGAUUGUCCUUUCCUUAGGGAUGUUGAUAACUAAGCCUCAUCAUCGUACAUGCCCUUAUUUAUCUUUAACUAGUCUUCCUUCGGUUAUAGGCACAUUUGGUGGUCUUUGUUGUCCAUGUUCCUAUCACAUUAACUUCUGUUAACUUAUCACUGACAGGGUUCACUCCCAGUGUUUUUCUAUUGUAUUGAUUUUUAAUUGUCCUUUUGAAGUCAACCCUACCAUCCAUGUUAAUAUUUUCAUUCCCGCAACAUGGUUGUGUUGCUCUUAUGUGUGUCUAACACUUUGCCCCAUAAAACUAGCUACUAAAAGAAUUGAGAAUUUAUGAUAUCAGUCAGAGAGAUUAUAGAGUCUCCAAAUCAGUUUUAACAGAUGCCCUCCUUACCAGCUCUAAAACUGCAUGAGUUCUCAUAGAUGACAUUAAUAGCCACUCCGAUAGGACAACUGAAACUUGGGCUAUUGAUUUUCUCUUGCUAUACUUGCAAGAUGAUCUAUAAUAACAAUCACAGAAUCUGUGUAGAAAUCCUUUGCUGUAAGAGUUGAUGACAGGAAGCUUUUGAUAGAUUUGAUCCUCUUGGAUAUCCAAGACUUUACCGCGCAUGGAUUAAUCUUUUGCCCAUCAUGUAACUUGACUGUUUUAUGGAGUUCCUGUACUUCAAGAGAAGCUGAAUUUUGAUUUAAGGGGAAGUUUAGGUGGGGUUUUAUGGGGUAAAUGACAUUUAUGGUGGUUUAAGUUAAUAAGGAGAUAAAUUUUAAAGUUUUUUUGAGAAUCCCCUGAUGCAGUUUGUAGGUUCUUCCUAUGAAAAAUUCCUAUAACCUCAGAAGGGAUAAGAUCAGACCAUCAGACAAAUCGUAUCUAUCAAAAUUAUUUUAGCUUGAUACUCGAGCAAGGGCCUUUUAACACUUUGACACGUUCAGUGCACUUUGACACAAGUACUUUUCAGUCACUAUUUCAGAGUGUUGCACGAAAUGCUGCAAACACUAGCUGUGGCAUUCCUUUGUGUCAGUACUCGCCCGAUAAUGAAAGAUGUCGUAGCAAUGCUUACAGAAAUUCGACAUGUUGAGACUGCAAGGGGAGAACCAGAAUUGUUAAAGGGAGGAGGGUUGCAAUCAAUUUUGGCAUCCCCCUGCUAGGAAAGCAGUUCCACAAGGCUCUUCUAACUGCUCUUUCGCUUUCUCUGAAGAUUCAAUGUAAUGAUAAGUUAUGAACUUUCAUCCACUGUGCAUAUUAUCUUGGGAGAAUCAAAAUCCCAUAGAACAAGGAAGAAUAUAGAGG